rnacentral:rRNA from 1 species
CGCGUAGGCGGCUUCUCAAGUCCGGGGUGAAAUCUUUCGGCCUAACCGGAAAAGGGCCUUGGAUACUGGGGAGCUCGAGGGGGGUUAGGGGCAAGCGGAACUUCCGGUGGAGCGGUGAAAUGCGUUGAUAUCGGAAGGAACGCCGGCGGCGAAAGCGGCUUGCUGGACCCCUCCUGACGCUGAGGCGCGAAAGCCAGGGGAGCGAACG